AUAAUAUAUUAAUAAUUUUCUUUAGGUUCAAAAUUGUGACAAAAAUUAAUGUUAAAAUUCCAUUAUUGUGACUAGAAAAAAGAAAAGAAAAAAAAAGAUGUGGAAAUGAAUGCCUUUUUGCUAUAUUUUAACUUAAUUUGUGUCUUUCAAUUAUUUAUAAUUCCCAUGUUUUAAAGUGACACUGUCGUGCAGUUUUCUCGUUCACAGCCGUGUUCACUUGCUUUGUUCACUGUGUUCAGUCAUCUCGACUGUUUUGGUGUUCACUUCGAAUAAUUUAGUGGGGGGAGAUUGAAGUGGUAAAAGCACCGAGGCAUUUCCACUGGCUGUGGACAAGGGGAGGGUCUUUAUUACCCCCAGACCGACACUGAAUCAGUUCAGUACAGUUGGAGCCGGAGACAGACAGACGCUACAUCGGCAGAAACAGACGCGCAUCACGACAAGCGACUGGAAAACAAGACGCCGGCGGAUGUUUGCAAAUGAAGCUGAGGUGAGGACUCGCUUGAGGGUAUCCACGAUCUCCUGGAAUGGGCUCAGGGGAGCUCAUACUGUUGACAGUUCUGUUCCAGUCCUCUGUUACAGUAUGUGGACAUGGACACAGACCGAAGGAGCAAACAGGCUUUUAGUGAGAGGUAUGAGCAAUGUCAGGAAAUGGCAGUUAAUGAUAGGUAAAUAACAGUUCUGUGUUGGAGACUAAUAGAUGAUAAGAAUGUAAACCAGACUUUCCUUGUUGUCAAGUGCAGGAGAUCAUGGAUGGGGAAACAGAUGGAGAGUUAGCACACACUCCAUCACACGUGUAAGUAUCCAGGUAAUCUUGAACAAACAACACAGGUAACACAAGGAAGGGAAGACAUGCUGAAUGGAAUUGCUGGAUUUAUUCGCUGGGGAUCAGGAGAACAUUUAAGCAAUCCUCAAAUGAACCAGACAGACAAUUAAGUGAGAUGAGGUGUUUGCUUAAGUAGCGUGGGUGAGGGAGUACACUGUGAUAGGGUUCUUAGCAUGACCGAUCCGUGACAUCUACUUUCUUAUAAUCAAAUUAACUUUGCAAUUUUGCAUCCUGUUUUCUAUCCCAAUUCAAAUACAUUUAAAAUUUAAGAUGGCAAAAAUCUUAUUUAGGAUAACAUAAAAAAAAAAACAAUAAUAAUCUUUAUAUUAAUUAAAAAGAUCAAUUACAGCUUUUCUCAAUUGAUUUGAUCAGUUUGUAUGCAAACCACACAACAGUCUCCACUUAGAAAAGGACAAACAUUGUCUACAAAAUAAAGGGAUGGACACUGAAGAGCCA
ensembl:lncRNA